rnacentral:rRNA from 1 species
CACUAGUGAUUGGUGUUCUUCCCGAUAUCUACACAUUCCACCGUUACACCGGGAAUUCCAGUCUCCCCUACCGCACUCAAGCCCGCCCGUACCCGGCGCGGAUCCACCGUUAAGCGAUGGACUUUCACACCGGACGCGACGAACCGCCUACGAGCCCUUUACGCCCAAUAAUUCCGGAUAACGCUUGCACCCUACGUAUUACCGCGGCUGCUGGCACGUAGUUAGCCGGUGCUUAUUCGAAAGGUACACUCACCCGAAGGCUUGCUCCCGAUCAAAAGCGGUUUACAACCCGAAGGCCGUCAUCCCGCACGCGGCGUCGCUGCAUCAGGCUUGCGCCCAUUGUGCAAUAUUCCCCACUGCUGCCUCCCGUAGGAGUCUGGGCCGUAUCUCAGUCCCAAUGUGGCCGGUCGCCCUCUCAGGCCGGCUACCCGUCGUAGGCUCGGUGGGCCGUUUUCCCGCCGACUACUUGAUAGGACGCUUCCCCUUCUCAUACCGAUUAU